rnacentral:rRNA from 1 species
UAAUUUGAUCAUGGCUCAGAUUCAACGCUGGUAGCAGGCCUAACACAUGCAAGUCGAGCGGAUGACGGGAGCUUGCUCCUUGAUUCAGCGGCGGACGGGUGAGUAAUGCCUAGGAAUCUGCCUGGUAGUGGGGGACAACGUUUCGAAAGGAACGCUAAUACCGCAUACGUCCUACGGGAGAAAGCAGGGGACCUUCGGGCCUUGCGCUAUCAGAUGAGCCUAGGUCGGAUUAGCUAGUUGGUGAGGUAAUGGCUCACCAAGGCGACGAUCCGUAACUGGUCUGAGAGGAUGAUCAGUCACACUGGAACUGAGACACGGUCCAGACUCCUACGGGAGGCAGCAGUGGGGAAUAUUGGACAAUGGGCGAAAGCCUGAUCCAGCCAUGCCGCGUGUGUGAAGAAGGUCUUCGGAUUGUAAAGCACUUUAAGUUGGGAGGAAGGGCAGUAAGUUAAUACCUUGCUGUUUUGACGUUACCGACAGAAUAAGCACCGGCUAACUCUGUGCCAGCAGCCGCGGUAAUACAGAGGGUGCAAGCGUUAAAUCCGGAAUUACUGGGGCGUAAAAGCGCGCGU